CUACGGGGUGCUCCAGUGGGGAAUAUUGCACAAUGGGCGCAAGCCUGAUGCAGCCAUGCCGCGUGUAUGAAGAAGGCCUUCGGGUUGUAAAGUACUUUCAGCGGGGAGGAAGGGAGUAAAGUUAAUACCUUUGCUCAUUGACGUUACCCGCAGAAGAGGCACCGGCUAACUCCGUGCCAGCAGCCGCGGUAAUACGGAGGGUGCAAGCGUUAAUCGGAAUUACUGGGCGUAAAGCGAACGCAGGCGGUUUGUUAAGUCAGAUGUGAAAUCCCCGGGCUCAACCUGGGAACUGCAUCUGAUACUGGCAAGCUUGAGUCUCGUAGAGGGGGGUAGAAUUCCAGGUGUAGCGGUGAAAUGCGUAGAGAUCUGGAGGAAUACCGGUGGCGAAGGCGGCCCCCUGGACGAAGACUGACGCUCAGGUGCGAAAGCGUGGGGAGCAAACAGGAUUAGAUACCCGUGUAGUC
rnacentral:rRNA from 1 species